rnacentral:rRNA from 1 species
CCCUUAGAUGUUCUGGGCUGCACGCGCGCUACACUGCUGCAAUUAACGGGUUUUCUGUGCCGAAAGGCUUGGGGAAUCCUUUGAAUAUGCGGCGUGAUGGGGAUAGAAUAUUGUAAUUAUUACUCUUCAACGAGGAAUUCCUAGUAAGCGCGGGUCAGCAGCCCGCGCUGAUUACGUCCCUGCCCUUUGUACACACCGCCCGUCGCUCCUACCGAGUGGGUGAUCCGGUGAAGCGUUCGGACCGUGGCCUUUGGACGGUUCGCCGUCUGUUGGCUGCGGGAAGUUCGUUAAACCUUAUCAUUUAGAGGAAGGAGAAGUCGUAACA